UAACUCGAAUACCAUGAAGUAAAAUGAUACCUGCGACCACAUUCUCGGCUGCCGCUGCCUCCUCAGUCUGGGCCGCAUACAUACGCCCGCUCGGGGCCUGUCGUGACCCCUCCGCCUGCCGCUGAACUGGCGGCCGUCCUGCCUGGUGAUGCGCAGAAGAUGUCCCCUGACUGGGGCCUGGCGAUGCUGGUGCAGAUGCCGAAGAUGGCGCUGGCGCUGAACCCCUCGGGCAGUCCGACUGGAAGUGGCCCUCCUGGCCACACAAGAAGCACCUGCCCCGGCUGCGUGAACACUGCCGCGGGUAGUGAGGACCGCCACAGAUCACGCAACAGGGAGCCUGGCGACGAUCGGGUCCUCCUCGCUGAGUAGACUGGCCACGUCCUCGCGACUGGCUCCGGCUGCUGGGAUGCCUUGGCGGCCUCCGUGAGUGCGUCUGGCUCGCACCCUCAGC
rnacentral:lncRNA from 1 species